CCUACGGGGGACAGCAGUGAGGAAUAUUGGUCAAUGGGCGGGAGCCUGAACCAGCCAAGCCGCGUGAGGGAAGAAGGUACAGCGUAUCGUAAACCUCUUUUGUCAGGGAACAAAGGCGGGGACUAGUCCCCGGAUGAGGGUACCUGAAGAAAAAGCAUCGGCUACUCCGUGCCAGCAGCCGGGGGAAGACGGAGGAAGGGAGCGUUAUCCGGAUUUUUUGGGUUUAAAGGGUGCGCAGGCGGCCGGUUUAGUCAGCGGUAAAAGCCCGGGGCACAACCCCGGCGAGCCGUGGAAACUGGCGGGCUGGAGUGGGAGAGAAGUACGCGGAAUGCGCGGUGUAGCGGUGAAAUGCUUAGAUAUCGCGCAGAACCCCGAUUGCGAAGGCAGCGUACCGGCUCCACACUGACGCUGAGGCACGAAAGCGUGGGUAUCGAACAGGAUUAGAUACCCCUGUAGUC
rnacentral:rRNA from 1 species